UCCCUGAUAGUCCUGUGGUUAGGACUCCACACUUCCACUGCUGGGGCCCAGGUUCAAUCCCUGGUCAGGGAA